UAGGUGUGGCAAGCAGGGACA
rnacentral:misc_RNA from 1 species